GUGGGAAACAAAAGCAUGUCAUUUCCUGCUGGGAAGUCGGACAGGUAAGUGGCCUGGCUGGGCCAGCAGGGGCACCAACCACUGUACCUGAGACCCUUAGCAGAAUGCAGCUCCAGGGGCUUCUGCUGGACAUGGGCAAGACCUCUCUGUCACUCAAAGCAGGAGAGGACGUCACGGGCUCCAUGUCAAAGUCACGCUCACAUGACCAUAUCCUGCCUCCCGGGCCUCAAAUCCCAUCCUUCUCUUUCUUGCACUGUAGUUUCUCACUGGUACCCUUAUCUCAGAGCACAUGGGUGGGGUUCUUAGGGAUGAGGGAAGUCAACAGGUGGGUCACCAGUGGCAAGCGUUUGCAUAGCAUGAACAGCUCAUGCUAGGGCAGAGCUGGAGGUCAGGCUCCCACAUAGGAAGCAGGACAAGCCUGCUGCCACAGACCCCACAGCUCAGUGCCCAAGCGUAGGCCUCAUGUUCAUCCCUCCCUUACUGUGUGUUUUGAGAUUUGUACGGCCUCUGAACACAAAGAGGUAACUCUGGUUUUCAUCCAUCUCUGCAGAGGCUUCCGGCACAACUGGCCAAAGAGAUAGUCUUGGAGAGACUCCUGGGGCCGUGGACACUGCUGCUUUGUACAAAACCCAUUUUAAAAUCAUUAAAAAUUUAUUCCUACCAG
rnacentral:lncRNA from 1 species